ACGCUGUCGGGGAAUACUUUGUUCCUCUCCUUUUCCGCUGAUUGCUGUGGUGCUCCGAGACCUGUGUCCAGGCACCUGCAAGUGAGCCACCAGCCCUGGAUCCCACGCCUCUGGAGCCAGUGUGCCGUUUGGCUUCCCGCCUUUGGGCAGGGGAGACCUGGCACGGGCUUCCCACUUUGCUUCCCUGGCUCUGCGAGCACCCUGGUGCCUUUGGCAUGGCGAGACGUCCAGAAGGGAAGGAAGUUGUCGGCUGGUUCUGCCGUGGCUGCUGCCUUUCCGAGGGCCGAUAAAGCCUCCGUGAAGCCACGCUACUCCAGGCCUGUCCUAUGGUAUCCUAGGUAUUUGGCUGCGCUUUGUGUGAGAUCCCUCCUACAGCCUCUUCUGAGGAAAAAGGCUAUUUUUGGCUUCCAGCAAGGAAGCCACCCUCAGCCCAUCAGAGUUUUGGAGACAACCCAUUUUCUUCUCAGCUCCCUGCAGCAUCCCCAGCUGCAUCCAGAGGGGCCAGGGAUCUGCUGCCUUUCCUUCUCGUGCCUGACUGCUCCCUCGGGCCAUGUCCUACCAUUAGUGCCAGGGGGCAGGCCGGGGAGGUAUCCCAUUUUGGGGCAACCCCUCGAGUCGAGCAAAGCCAGGCAGCGCUGCCCGCCUGCCCCUGCUCUGCGCUGCACCCGAGGCAAUGGACGGGCCGUGGCAGCCCCCCGGCGCGGGUCCAGGCUAUUUCAGGCAGCCCGAGCUUGCAGCGCCAGGAGCGAGACAGCUCCAGCGAGCCCCCGGCCGCCCUCCUCGGGUAACGCGAGAGGCUGCAACUCGCCCGGUGAAGGGCAGAGCCGGGGGACCCGUUGCUGCCCGGGUGAGGAGCUCGUCCCCCCAGCACAGCAGCGAGGGACGCCUCCGGCCCGGCGGCUGUGCCGCGGGGAGGGGUGGCGGGAGCUGGCGGCAGCGCGGAGGUGCGCUCCCAGCUUCCCUCCGGCUCCCACCCGCUCCGGCUCUGGGAUUGCUCAGGGCUCUGCCAGACCCCAAUAA
rnacentral:lncRNA from 1 species